AUACGUAGGGGGCGAGCGUUGUCCGGAAUGAUUGGGCGUAAAGGGCGCGUAGGCGGCCCGGUAAGUCUGGAGUGAAAGUCCUGUUUUUAAGAUGGGAAUUGCUUUGGAUACUGUCGGGCUUGAGCGCAGGAGAGGUAAGUGGAAUUCCCAGUGUAGCGGUGAAAUGCGUAGAGAUUGGGAGGAACACCAGUGGCGAAGGCGACUUACUGGACUGUAACUGACGCUGAGGCGCGAAAGUGUGGGGAGCAAACAGGAUUAGAUACCUUGGUAGUCCACACUGUAAACGAUGAAUACUAGGUGUAGGGGGUAUCGACUCCCUCUGUGCCGCAGUUAACACAAUAAGUAUUCCGCCUGGGGAGUACGGCCGCAAGGUUGAAACUCAAAGGAAUUGACGGGG
rnacentral:rRNA from 1 species